AUGCUUCUUCACCUAUUGCUUCUUGGCCUUAUUUUCACCCUACAGAUUCCUGCAUCCUCUGCUGCCAUUGACUCCAUUGCACCAGGCCAAGGACUUGUUUGCGGUGUUAGUGACAAGCUUGUCUCCCUAGAUGGCAAGUUUGCGCUUGGCUUCUUCCAACCAGGCAGUAUGUCCCACAACACCUUGAAUUGGUACCUAGGCAUUUGGUUUAAUAAAGUCCCCAAGAUAACUCCUGUGUGGGUCGCAAACCGUGAUGACCCAAUCACACAGCCCGCUUUAGUUAGCUUCACAAUUUCCCAAGAUGGCAAUCUUGUCAUCUUAGAUCAAGCCACCAAUAGCAUGAUCUGGUCUAGCAGAGUUAGUAUCAGAACCAACACCACCAUUGGCAUGCUCAUGAACAAUGGAAACCUUGUCCUACAAAAUGCCUCAAACUCAUCCGACAUUUUGUGGCAGAGUUUUGACCACCCAACAAAUACUUUCCUCCCUGGUGCAAAGAUCGGCCGAGACAAGGUCACUGGUUUGACUCGCCGUCUUGUUUCCAAAAAGAACUUGAUUGACCCAGCUCGUGGUCGUUACGUUUAUGAGUUAGUUCCUAACGAGUUGAUCCUUAAGCUUUUGAACUCAUCCGUAGCAUACUGGUCUAGCGGGGAAUGGAAUGGACAGUAUUUUAGCUCCAUUCCGGAGAUGUUAAGCCGCAGCUUGAUAGACUUCAAGUUUGUCAACAACACAAAUGAAGAGUACUUCACAUUCACCUUACUGAACGACACGAUGAUCAUGCAUCAUCUACUUGAUGUUUCUGGUCAAAUGAAGACUUUAAUCUGGGAUGAGGUUUCACAGGAUUGGUUAGGUUCCUACUCCAACCCCAAAGCUCAGUGUGAUGUCUAUGCUCUCUGUGGACCAUUCACUGUGUGCGAUGAUAACUCAGCUCCAUAUUGUAGCUGUAUGAAGGGCUUCUCCAUAAGAUCCCCAGAGGACUGGGAGCAAAAUGAUAGAAGCCGUGGAUGCAUGAGAAAUACUCCUUUAAAUUGUGGCAGUAACAGGAGUACUGCAGGAGUGACCGAUGAAUUCUAUUCCUUGUCCAAUGUGAAAUUGCCUCAGAAUGCUGACAACAUUGGCGCUGCUAUCAGUGCUAGAGAAUGUGCAGAAGUUUGCCUGAGAAAUUGCUCUUGCACUGCAUAUUCUUGCACUGACAGUCGAUGCUCCAUUUGGCAUGAGGAACUUCUCAAUGUAAAACAGCAGCAUGCUGACACUACCGAUACAAAUGAUGGUGCAGUUCUUUAUCUUCGCCUUGCUGCAAAAGAGAUGCAAACUCAGAAACCUGACCGAAGAGUGGCCACUCGGAUUUUGUCAGCUGCCAUUGUCACCGCACUGGGGUUGCUGGCACUCAUAUUGCUAGUUCUUCUACUGAUGAUUCGGGGGAACAAUAGGGAUUGGUCUGGUGGUACACUGAAAAAUCCUCAAGACGGUGGUGGAAUUAUUGCAUUUAGAUACAUUGAUUUGCAGAGGGCAACAAGAAAUUUCUCUGAGAAGCUAGGUGCCGGCGGCUUUGGUUCUGUGUUCAAGGCAUAUCUGACCGACUCAGCUACAAUGGCAGUGAAAAGGCUUGAUGGUGCUUGUCAAGGAGAAAAACAAUUCAGGGCUGAGGUGACUUCAGUCGGAGUUAUACAACAUAUCAAUUUAGUUAGACUGAUUGGUUUCUGUUGCGAGGGUGAACGGAGGUUACUUGCAUAUGAGCACAUGCCAAAUCGUUCUCUUGACAUCCAUCUAUUUCAGGACAACAACACAGUUUUAAACUGGUGUACCAGGUAUAAAAUAGCUCUGGGAGUUGCUAGAGGGCUGGCUUACCUGCAUGAGAGCUGCCAAGACUUGAUCAUACACUGUGAUAUCAAGCCACAAAAUAUACUUCUUGACACGUCGUUUGUUGCUAAAAUUGCUGACUUUGGUAUGGCCAAGUUAAUAGGGAGGGAUUUUAGCCGGGUUCUGACUACAGCAAGAGGAACUGCAGGAUACCUUGCACCCGAAUGGAUAAGCGGGGUUGCUAUCACAGCAAAAGUCGAUGUUUAUGGCUACGGGAUGGUGCUAAUGGAAAUAAUAUCAGGAAGACAGAAUUCAUUUGAACAAUACACUGUCGGUGGUGAUUGUGUUGUUUUCUUCCCUGUGCAUGCUGCGCAAAUGCUUCUCGAGGGAGAUGUGGCAAGCUUGGUGGAUGAAAAAUUAUCAGGUGACGUAAAUCUAGAGGAGGCUGAACGACUAUGCAAGGUUGCUUGUUGGUGCAUUCAGGAUGAUGAGUUUGAUCGGCCGACAAUGGGCGAUGUUGUUCGUACUCUAGAGGGUUUAUCUGAUCUUGAUACGCCUCCCGUUCCAAGACUACUUCAGGCCAUUACAAGGAGGAGCUCUCACCCCCCUUCCACCUACCUCUCUAAUGAAUCAGAAUAA
rnacentral:rRNA from 1 species